GGACUACCAGGGUAUCUAAUCCCGUUUGCUCCCCUGGCUUUCGCGCCUCAGCGUCAGCGGAGGUCCAGCGCGUCGCUUUCGCCACCGGCGUUCCUUCCGAUAUCUACGCAUUUCACCGCUCCACCGGAAGUUCCACACGCCCCUACCUCCCUCCAGGCCGCCCGUAUCCGCGGCGCUUCCCCGGUUGAGCCGGGGGCUUUCACCGCGGACGCAACGGCCCGCCUACGCGCCCUUUAAGCCCAGUGAUUCCGAACAACGUUCGCACGGUUCGUCUUACCGCGGCGGCUGGCAC
rnacentral:rRNA from 2 species